rnacentral:rRNA from 1 species
GAUGAACGCUGGCGGCGUGCUUAACACAUGCAAGUCGAACGGUGAAGCCCAGCUUGCUGGGUGGAUCAGUGGCGAACGGGUGAGUAACACGUGAGCAACCUGCCCUGGACUCUGGGAUAAGCGCUGGAAACGGCGUCUAAUACUGGAUAUGAGACGUGGCCGCAUGGUCAACGUUUGGAAAGAUUUUUCGGUCUGGGAUGGGCUCGCGGCCUAUCAGCUUGUUGGUGAGGUAAUGGCUCACCAAGGCGUCGACGGGUAGCCGGCCUGAGAGGGUGACCGGCCACACUGGGACUGAGACACGGCCCAGACUCCUACGGGAGGCAGCAGUGGGGAAUAUUGCACAAUGGGCGGAAGCCUGAUGCAGCAACGCCGCGUGAGGGAUGACGGCCUUCGGGUUGUAAACCUCUUUUAGCAAGGAAGAAGCUUUUGUGACGGUACUUGCAGAAAAAGCGCCGGCUAACUACGUGCCAGCCGCCGCCGUAACAC